GGAAAACGCUGUAAUGGGUUCGUGGUGUUUGCGGCUGCUGAUUAUUAUUCUACUCUUGGUGUUCCUAAAUCUGCCACCAUUAAAGAUAUUAAAGCCGCUUAUCGCAAAUUGGGUCGUCAGGAGCUGAACAUGAAAGGAGCCAAACAAGAAUGCAGGCCUUUGAUGAACAACUUAGAAACUUUAUGUUUCAGGUCGGACCUGUGAGCACGUUUAGCUAUAGAAACGCCGUGUUUUUGUGGGUAUGGAAGAAGAGAGAGUAGGAGGAAGUCAGUUUGUGGUUGUAUUGUAAGGAAGAAUUAGAGGUCUGCAUCAAAAAUCUGAAAACUUCUCAUUUCUAAAGAAAAUGAUGUUAAAAAGUAUGUCAAUACAUAUCGAAGUACGAGUACAAACAAAGUUUGUGGUAAGAUUUUCUAGAUCCUUUAUAGAAUGCAUGUGUUAUACUGUUGUUGAAUGGUUUCUGUUCUUUUGUAUAGGACCCUAAACAUGGACAUUGGUGGCUGCAAUUUGCAUCCGGUGUGCUA